ensembl:lncRNA PANTR1 POU3F3 adjacent non-coding transcript 1
AGACUAGUGGAGAGCUGGGCUUCGAGGCGUCAGUGUGAAGGGAAGGCUAAGGACGCAUCGGUGCUGGAGAGUUGAGAAUAUGCCUUCCCCUCCACCCCCAACCCAGUCACCUUAUUUGAAAAAAAAUUAAAAAACACCUUUUAUUUAAAAACCUAACCCUGGAAGUUUGCUCGCUGCCUGAAAAUCAUAUGCGUGGUUUUUCCUGUUUCCUGCUCUGUAGCUGACAUCAGGGGAGCAACGUGAACACAGGAAAAUGGAAAUCAACAUUUGAAACUUUUAAAUGGAAGCUUUAUUGGGGUUCCACAUAUGGAAAACUGCAAAUAGCAGAAGUAUGUGACUCAAUAAAUUAUUCUGGAGUGACCACAUCCUCUAACUGCCUCCCAGGACAAGACGGAGAAUGUGAACAAUGCUCCUGAAGGCCCCUUUCCCUCAAAGAAUCACUGCAAUUGAAGGAAAAAUGCUCCAUGUCCCCUCUGCCAGUUGGUGUUUAUCAAAGGACAACGGAGGAAGAGAGACAAAGUGCCUGGAUGUGUGUGUUAAUCAAGAGUUGUCAGGACCCUGCCUCUAAAAGAAAGCGCUAAAAUGAUGCUUUUGACAAGACUUUUCUCAAAGUGGAUGCAGUCUAAGGGUUGGAAAACAAGGCCCAAUCAGGCUAGGUCUGACUUGUCGCCUGCUUUUGUAAAUAAAGUUUUAUUGGCUCACAGACACACUUAUUUGUUUCUGUAUUAUCUAUGGCUGCUUUCGCGCCACAACAUGGAGCAGUUGUGGAAGAGACCAUAUGGCCGACAAAGCCUAAGAUAUUUACUCUCUGGCUCUUGACGGGAAAAGUUUGCCAAUUCCUGAUGUUCUCCAUCCAGUUCAUUGUUCAUUUACUCGAUACCUACUCCAUACUGAUAAAUAAAUUUGUAGGUAUUUUUAUGUAGUACUAAUUUGAAGAAAUGCUCAGGGCCUUUGGCUGUGAGUUAAUUUUAUGAGUAUUCAGAGCAGGUAUAUGGAUGGCAAGCAGCAAGAAUGAUUUAAGGUAAGAAGUCAUGGUUAGAGAUAAGAUUCUGCCAUUGUCUCGGGGUAAAUCACUGAUUAUAGCCAUCUUUUUCUCUGCCUGCUCUCUGGAGAAGAAGGUGUACACAUAUCUGGAACUCCUAGCUUGGAGUGCACCUUUAUUAACUACAUCAAGGCAUUAUGGUCAACAUUGUGGACUUCUGCUUCCAGGACAAAUGAUGAACAUCCUUUCCCACCAUUUGGUGGUUGGGAGGAUCAAGUGAGAGAAUGUGAAUCCAAUUGUUUUCUAAACCAUAUAGGUACUAUAUUUGUGGUAUAGAUGCUAUCUAUAAAACUUUAGAAUAAAUUAUCAUCCCUAUUUGGCAUGCGAGGAAAUGAGAUUUAGGUAGCAUGCCCAAGAUCAUAUAGUAAGCCAGUAGAACAGCUGGCAGUUACUUCUCCUGGCUUUAAGUCACUACUCUUUCCGGUAUACCAUAAUGCUUCUUUACAUCAUGUGUCUUUCUAUAGUUUUGGAAAUGUUCAGUCCUUUAGUUCAUUGGUUCACUCAUUCAUCUGCUAUUUAACAUAAUUUAAGAGCCCUGUAUGAGCUAGAAAAAGAGCUGAAAUUUUCCAGGGAGUGAUGACUGUUUAAAGAUGAGUUGUAACUCUUCAGUUGUUUUGUUCUUAGACUCCUGUGGCUGGAAUCCUCCAGAAGUCCAUAGAUUCUUCUUCUGUUUUAUUCUGUGCUGUCCAAGGAGUUGGCUUUUAUUUGUGCUAUGGAGAAAGAGAAAGUAUAUGAACUUGGAGAGGGAGAGUAAUCCUAUUGCUCUACAAAAUGUUGCCUGACAUCUUGUUUUACAUUGUGUGCAUAUGCAUGUCUCUUGAGUGCACAUACCAUGAAAGGAAAGAGAAUGAGCGAUACUGAAAUGUUGAUAGCAGAUUGUACCAGCAACUAAAAGAUGAAAAUGAUCCAGGCUUGGGAGAUGCGAAAGCUAAGAUUUUGUACAUAAAGUCCAAGUGAAUCCAUAUCAAAGAAAUUUCAAAUAUGAAUUACCCAGCUAAGUGACAUAUAUUAAACAUGGGUGUGCCAGAUAUAGGCUUAUUUUACCAUGCUGUUCAAUACAGCUCUUCAUUCAGAUUAUAUUUAUUCAAUUAUGUGUCUUGUAAUUUUUGAGAUGAGAUGAUGCCUAGAGGAAGCAGCUUCCACCAAAAUAUUGGAUUUGCCUUGUCAUAGUAAGAGAAGUACUUAAAAGUUUCUGAUUUUGAUAUUUGCCCUUUUAGUAGGGGAAGUUUGCCAAUAUUUUCCUUUCAUUCAGUGUCACUGGAUACUUGUUGUAUGAGUUCGUUCUUACGCUGCUAUGAAGAGAUACUCGAGACUUAGUAAUUUAUAAAGAAAAGAGUUUUAAUUGACUCACAGUUCUGCAUGGCUGGGGAGACCUCAGGAAACUCACAAUCAUGGUGGAAAGUGAAGCAGGCAUGUCCUUCUUCACAUGGUGGCAGGAGAGAAAAGUGCUAAGCAAAGGCUGGAAAAGCCCCUUAUAAAACCAUCAGAUCUCAUGAGAACUCACUCACUAUCAUGAGAACAGCAUGAGAGUAACUGCUCCCAUGAUUCAGUUGCCUCCCACCAUGUGUCCCUCCUAUGAAACGUGGGGAUUAUGGGAGCUACAAUGGGCUAUGGUAGGGACAUAGCUAAACCAUAUCACUUGUUCUCAUCAGAUUUAUUGGUGAACCUAAAAGUCAUAUGAUUCUCUAAAACAAAGGUGCCAAUGAAGCUGCCUAAUGAAAAAAAACCUUCCAGAAUCUUCCAUUAUACAGUUGUCACCUGCAAAGACCUCUGAGAGGUGCAGUAGAAAGUUCUGCUUUACUCUCCUCGUUUCCCCCACAAAAGGCAGUCACAGCCUUGCCGACUGAAUUUGGAGGUGAUAGUAUCAAUUCUGUGAUUCAUCCAUGCAGUAUGCUACUUCUCAGAUAUUCCUAGGACCCAGGACACUGCUGUUUUAAGGAACAUAAUUUGUUUCAUCAUACAAAAGGCAUAUUCAUAGAAGGACUUAAUGUUGCUACAGAUAAGACAUUUUGUCAGUAAGGAAGUUGUCAACAUUAAUUUAUUUAACUUUCCUCUAACAGAGUGAAUUUUCUUCCAUUUGCUGUGGAAUACACUUCUUUUUCUAAUUCUAUUCAUUUAGCAGGUAUUCUACUGAAAAAAUUGUCACCAUGUUGGCAAUAUUUUGUAGAGGGGAAAUAGAUUUUUCAACAAAGUGUAAAAUUCCACUGCAAUAGAAGGCCUCCAUUCUCUCAGUG